AGCGUGGAGACAGGUGGUGCAUGGCUGUCGUCAGCUCGUGUCGUGAGAUGUUGGGUUAAGUCCCGCAACGAGCGCAACCCUCACCCCUUGUUGCCAUCAGGUCAUGCUGGGCACUCUAGGGGAACUGCCCCGGUCAACGGGGAGGAAGGCGGGGAUGACGUCAAGUCAUCAUGCCCCUUACGUCCUGGGCUACACACGUGCUACAAUGGCCGGUACAAAGGGAUGCCACACCGCGAGGUAGAGCUAAACCCAAAAAGCCGGUCUAAGUUCAGAUUGGAGUCUGCAACUCGACUCCAUGAAGGAGGAAUCGCUAGUAAUCGCGUAUCAGCACGACGCGGUGAAUACGUUCCCGGGCCUUGUACACACCGCCCGUCACACCACGAAAGCCAGCUGUACUCGAAGUCGCUGAG
rnacentral:rRNA from 1 species